rnacentral:rRNA from 1 species
AUGCCUUACACAUGCAAGUCGAACGGCAGCAUGGAGAGCUUGCUCUCUGAUGGCGAGUGGCGAACGGGUGAGUAAAGCAUCGGAACGUACCGUGUAGUGGGGGAUAACGUAGCGAAAGUUACGCUAAUACCGCAUACGCACUGAGGUGGAAAGCAGGGGAUCGCAAGACCUUGCGCUAUACGAGCGGCCGAUGUCAGAUUAGCUAGUUGGUAGGGUAAAGGCCUACCAAGGCGACGAUCUGUAGCGGGUCUGAGAGGAUGAUCCGCCACACUGGGACUGAGACACGGCCCAGACUCCUACGGGAGGCAGCAGUGGGGAAUUUUGGACAAUGGGGGAAACCCUGAUCCAGCCAUGCCGCGUGAGUGAAGAAGGCCUUCGGGUUGUAAAGCUCUUUCGGCUGGGAAGAAAUCGCACAGGCUAAUACCCUGUGUGGAUGACGGUACCAGCAUAAGAAGCACCGGCUAACUACGUGCCAGCAGCCGCGGUAAUACGUAGGGUGCGAGCGUUAAUCGGAAUUACUGGGCGUAAAGCGUGCGCAGGCGGUUAGGUAAGUUUGAUGUGAAAUCCCCGGGCUCAACCUGGGAACUGCAUUGAAGACUGCCUAACUAGAGUACGGCAGAGGGGGGUGGAAUUCCACGUGUAGCAGUGAAAUGCGUAGAGAUGUGGAGGAACACCGAUGGCGAAGGCAGCCCCCUGGGCCGAUACUGACGCUCAUGCACGAAAGCGUGGGGAGCAAACAGGAAUUAGAUACCCUGGUAGUCCACGCCCUAAACGAUGUCAACUAGUUGUUGGUAGGGUUAAACCUAUUAGUAACGUAGCUAACGGCGUGAAGUUGACCGCCUGGGGAGUACGGUCGCAAGAUUAAAACUCAAAGGAAUUGACGGGGACCCGCACAAGCGGUGGAUGAUGUGGAUUAAUUCGAUGCAACGCGAAAAACCUUACCUACCCUUGACAUGUCAGGAAUCCCGAAGAGAUUUGGGAGUGCCGCAAGGAACCUGAACACAGGUGCUGCAUGGCUGUCGUCAGCUCGUGUCGUGAGAUGUUGGGUUAAGUCCCGCAACGAGCGCAACCCUUGUCAUUAGUUGCCAUCAUUUAGUUGGGCACUCUAAUGAGACUGCCGGUGACAAACCGGAGGAAGGUGGGGAUGACGUCAAGUCCUCAUGGCCCUUAUGGGUAGGGCUUCACACGUCAUACAAUGGUCGGUACAGAGGGUUGCCAAGCCGCGAGGUGGAGCCAAUCCCAGAAAGCCGAUCGUAGUCCGGAUCGUAGUCUGCAACUCGACUACGUGAAGUCGGAAUCGCUAGUAAUCGCGGAUCAGAAUGCCGCGGUGAAAUACGUUCCCGGGUCUUGUACACACCGCCCGUCACACCAUGGGAGUGGGUUUCACCAGAAGUAGCUAGCCUAACCGUAAGGAGGGCGGUUACCACGGUGAGA